CCCUUAGAUGUCCUGGGCCGCACGCGCGCUACACUGAUGCAUUCAACGAGUUUUACCUUGGCCGAGAGGCCUGGGCAAUCUUUUAAACCUGCAUCGUGAUGGGGAUAGAUUAUUGCAAUUAUUAAUCUUGAACGAGGAAUUCCUAGUAAACGCAAAUCAUCAAUUUGCAUUGAUUACGUCCCUGCCCUUUGUACACACCGCCCGUCGCACCUACCGAUUGAAUGGUCCGGUGAAGCCUCGGGAUUGUGGCCAGUUCACUUUAUUGGGAGUUGGCUGCGAGAACUUGUCUAAACCUUAUCAUUUAGAGGAAGGUGAAGUCGUAACA
rnacentral:rRNA from 1 species